GGCUCAGUAGUUCAACUGGAUAGAAUAUCAGAUUUCGGCUCUGAGGGUUGGGGGUUCGAAUCCUCCCUGGGUCA
rnacentral:tRNA from 1 species